GCCAGGUGUGGUGGCGCAUGCUUGUAAUCCUGGCUACUUGGGAGGCUGAGGCAGGAGAAUCACUUGAACCCGGGAGGUGGUGGUUGCAGUGAGCCGAGAUCGUGCCACUGCACUCCAGCCUGGGUGACAGAGUGAGACUCUGUCUCAA
rfam:Homo sapiens chromosome 3, GRCh38 reference primary assembly.